AGCGAACGUUAGCGGCGGGCCUAACACAUGCAAGUCGAACGCGAAAGGUCUUCGGACUGAGUAGAGUGGCGCACGGGUGAGUAACACGUAGGUAAUCUACCCUUUGGCGGGGGAUAACGUUCCGAAAGGAGCGCUAAUACCGCAUAAGACCACGGAGUCUCCGGACGCUGUGGGAAAAGGUGGCCUCUUCUUGAAAGCUACCACCGAAGGAUGAGCCUGCGUCCCAUCAGCUAGUUGGUAAGGUAAUGGCUUACCAAGGCGAAGACGGGUAGCUGGUUUGAGAGAAUGAUCAGCCACACUGGCACUGGAACACGGGCCAGACUCCUACGGGAGGCAGCAGUGAGGAAUAUUGGGCAAUGGGCGAAAGCCUGACCCAGCCACGCCGCGUGAGUGAUGAAGGCCCUCGGGUCGUAAAGCUCUGUGGAGAGGGACGAGAACCCUGGUUUCAAAUAGGCUCCAGGCUUGACGGUACCUCUUUAGCAAGCACCGGCUAACUCUGUGCCAGCAG
rnacentral:rRNA from 1 species